rnacentral:rRNA from 1 species
GACGAACGCUGGCGGCGUGCCUAAUACAUGCAAGUAGAACGCACAGUUUAUACCGUAGCUUGCUACACCAUAGACUGUGAGUUGCGAACGGGUGAGUAACGCGUAGGUAACCUGCCUGGUAGCGGGGGAUAACUAUUGGAAACGAUAGCUAAUACCGCAUAAUAUUAAUUAUUGCAUGAUAAUUAAUUGAAAGGUGCAAUUGCACCACUACCAGAUGGACCUGCGUUGUAUUAGCUAGUAGGUGAGGUAACGGCUCACCUAGGCGACGAAACAUAGCCGACCUGGGAGGGGGGACGGCCACACUGGGACUGAGACACGGCCCAGAAUCCUACGGGAGGCAGCAGGAGGGAAUCUUCGGCAAUGGACGAAAGUCUGACCGAGCAACGCCGCGGGAGUGAAGAAGGUUUUCGGAUCGUAAAGCUCUGUUGUAAGAGAAGAACGGGUGUGAGAGUGGAAAGUUCACACUGUGACGGUAGCUUACCAGAAAGGGACGGCUAACUACGUG